GACGAACCGUCCUAACGUUGUUCGGAAUCACUGGGUUUAAAGGGCGCGUAGGCGGGUCAGCAAGUCCGGGGUGAAAUCUUUCGGCUUAACCGGAAAAGUGCCUUGGAUACUGCUGGUCUAGAGGGAGGUAGGGGCAUGUGGAACUUCCGGUGGAGCGGUGAAAUGCGUUGAUAUCGGAAGGAACGCCGGUGGCGAAAGCGACGUGCUGGAUCUCUUCUGACGCUGAGGCGCGAAAGCCAGGGGAGCAAACGGG
rnacentral:rRNA from 1 species